rnacentral:rRNA from 1 species
AUUGAACGCUGGCGGUAUGCUUUACACAUGCAAGUCGAACGGCAGCACGGGGCAACCUGGUGGCGAGUGGCGAACGGGUGAGUAAUAUAUCGGAACAUGUCCGGAAGUGGGGGAUAACGUAGCGAAAGUUACGCUAAUACCGCAUAUGCCCCGAGGGGGAAAGGGGGGGAUCGCAAGACCUCUCGCUUUCGGAGUGGCCGAUAUCGGAUUAGCUAGUAGGUGAGGUAAAGGCUCACCUAGGCGACGAUCCGUAGCUGGUCUGAGAGGACGACCAGCCACACUGGAACUGAGACACGGUCCAGACUCCUACGGGAGGCAGCAGUGGGGAAUUUUGGACAAUGGGCGCAAGCCUGAUCCAGCCAUACCGCGUGAGUGAAGAAGGCCUUCGGGUUGUAAAGCUCUUUCAGACGGAAAGAAACGGUCGCGGCCAAUACCCGCGACUAAUGACGGUACCGUAAGAAGAAGCCCCGGCUAACUACGUGCCAGCAGCCGCGGUAAUACGUAGGGUGCGAGCGUUAAUCGGAAUUACUGGGCGUAAAGCGUGCGCAGGCGGUUUGGUAAGACAGAUGUGAAAUCCCCGGGCUUAACCUGGGAACUGCAUUUGUGACUGCCAGACUAGAGUGUAGCAGAGGGGGGUAGAAUUCCACGUGUAGCAGUGAAAUGCGUAGAUAUGUGGAGGAAUACCGAUGGCGAAGGCAGCCCCCUGGGCUAACACUGACGCUCAUGCACGAAAGCGUGGGGAGCAAACAGGAUUAGAUACCCUGGUAG